rnacentral:lncRNA from 1 species
UCCAGUUGCCUCUACUUCAGUGGUCUCAAGAGCCUUCCAUGGCACUACAAUUAUAAAAAGAAAAAUUGCUGGUUUUAACACAGGGCUGGUUUUGAUACACGGCAGCUGUUUUCUGAGUCUUCAGGAACAAAAAAUUUUUUAAAAAUGGGUUUACACAAAUAGAAAGUAACCAAAAAGUGUCCCCUGGCUGGGGAGUUCAAGAGAGAAGUAGUUCAUUGU